rnacentral:lncRNA from 1 species
GGAAAGUGAAGCUCCUCACCCUUCUCCGUGAGCUUUAAGAGUCGAAACUGGACCAAGCUCGAACACAAGAUUGCUUUACUAAAAAAUGUUACAAUAUAAUAUUCAAACUUGGAAGCAAGAUCUUCACCCGGCUUAACCACUAAGAAACCCACUGCGCAAGGAACAUGAACAAUGUCAUGGAGAGAAGCCUCUCUAUCGGCAGCAAAUGG